UACAGCUGAAAGUAACAAUAGCCCAAAGUUGAGUUUGUCCAGGUAUGGGUAGAAACUUCUUCAAGGAAGGCUUGUAGGGUGGACCAGGGGUAGUGGCCUCUGCUUCCCCGGAGCUCAGCUAUCUUCUCCCUUCAGUUCUCCUGACUAUUAUAACCUCAUGUUAAUGUCUUUUAACUUCCACAGCAUGGACUUAAUUGUCAGCACACUGGCAUAUACUAAUGAUUCUUUCCUCAUGCAAACUCUGCUAUAUCCUAGGAUCUUUUUUCAUGUGGGGCCUCCACUGAGAACAAUCUGGAUUUAGUAAUAGACUUAAUUGGAAGGUUUAAUAAGAAGUUAGGACUUUGUUUUCUUUUUUUAACUUGGGAAAGGCAGUAAUCUCAAGAAAACCAGAUGUGAAUUUGAUUUUAACAAGAGAAUUUUCACUUUCCUUGUACCCUCCAAAGCUUGGGAAUUCUCCUUUGAAGAUGUUAAUUCUAUAAGAGUAUUGUCAGCAGUAUAAAGGUUGAAGAAUAGUUGAGUUUGCCUAUAGAUGAGCCAGACUGAAAAAUACAGAAAGUAGUACUUGAUGAAAUCAUGAAUUGUUAUGAUUUGAAUUAUACAGCUCCGUAUGGACUCCUGAACGUUGAUUUGUCUGGAACAUUAUGAAGGGUAUUAUAGUGAGGAGGGAGGUAUAUAUAUAUAUUUAAUGUCACUUGGUGAACUUGACUCAAAAAGUAUUCAUUUGAGGUUUGAUUCUUUACUCAAUCACCAUAACUGAUUGAUAGAGACAUGGAUCUCCAUUUGGCUUGUUUCUGCUCUGCAAAUCUUCCAUGAACCUCACUGAGAGUCUAAGAUGCAGUUGUAAAGGAUGAUUGAAGAGUUUGAAUUUCUAACUCUUCAAGAGUUAAGCACCUCAGAAAAAACAUCUUAAGCUAAGCACCUCAGAAAAAACAUCAUUUUGCCUUAUAUUUCUGUGUGAUAGUAUGAAAGGUACUGUAAUCAGAUAAAGUAACACUUAAAAUAUUAGGACUUUUAA
rnacentral:lncRNA from 1 species